CCUACGGGAGGCAGCAGUGAGGAAUAUUGGUCAAUGGCCGGAAGGCUGAACCAGCCAUGCCGCGUGAAGGGCAGGGACCUAUGGGCGUUAAACUUCUUUUGUGCGGGAGCAAUAAUGGUCACGUGUGGCCAGACGAGAGUACCGUACGAAUAAGCAUCGGCUAACUCCGUGACAGCAGCCGCGGUAAUACGGGGGAGGCAAGCGUUAUCCGGAAUUAAUGGGUGUAAAGGGUGCGUAGGCUGUGAGGUAAGUCAGCGGGGAAAUGCCCCCGCUCAACGGGGUGAAGUGCCAUUGAUACUGCCUUGCUGGAGUGCGGAUGCCGUGGGAGGAAUGUGUGGUGUAGCGGUGAAAUGCAUAGAUAUCACCCAGAACACCGAUUGCGAAGGCAUCUCACGAAUCCGCGAUUGACGCUGAUGCACGAAAGCGUGGGUAUCAAACAGGAUUAGAUACCCUUGUAGUC
rnacentral:rRNA from 1 species